rnacentral:tRNA from 1 species
GGACAUAGCUCAGUGAUAGACCACAUGUUUAGCACACAUGAGGUCCUGAGUUCAAUCCCCAGUACGUCCU